rnacentral:SRP_RNA from 1 species
GCCAGGCGCGGUGGCUCAAGCCUGUAAUCCCAGCACUUUGGGAGGCCGAGACGGGCAGAUCACGAGGUCAGGAGAUCGAGACCAUCUUGGCUAACACAGUGAAACCCCGUCUCUACUAAAAAAUACAAAAAAAUAGCCGGGCGAGGUGGCGGGNNNNNNNNNNCGCCCGGCUAAAUUUUUGUAUUUUUUAGUAGAGACGGGGUUUCACUGUGUUAGCCAGGAUGGUCUUGAUCUCCUGACCUCGUGAUCCGCCCGUCUCGG